UCCGUGGUGAACCAGCGGAGGGAUCAUUA
rnacentral:rRNA from 2 species